UUUUAACAUUGUGUAGUGUGGUAACUCUGCAAGUGGUUUAGAAAUUAGAACGGCCCAAAAAUUGCACUAGUGGUUUUUGGGCAGAGAAAUUUAAUUUUCAUUAAUGGAAUUACGUGCGAAUAAUGUGAGAAAUAUGAAUUCGUGUUCUUAAUUGCAAACUUUACAAUAUUCGUAAUCACCAUCAACUUCGCGGAGUGUUGCAAUGGGCAAAGAUCAAGAACUGUUGGAAGCGGCACGCAUCGGAAAUAUUGCUGUAGUAGGCAAAAUACUUGAGCAGAUUUCGAAACGUAACAGCGGGCCUUUCUCAAGUUUUCGGCGUAGCCCAUGCAUCAAUAGCCAAGAUGUUAAUGGCUACACGCCACUUCAUCAUGCUUGUUUGAAUGGUCAUGGCAAUAUCGUGCGCCUUUUAUUGGCCCAUAAUGCUGCCCCUGAUAUGCCGGAUAUACGCGGUUCAACACCUCUGUAUUUGGCUGCUUGGGCAGGUCAUGACGAGAUUGUAAAACAGCUCUUGCUUCACACACCAAAAGCAGCAAAUCCAAAUGCACAAACUAUCGACAAUGAAACACCAUUGCACUGUGCCGCACAACAUGGACAUAACACCGUUCUAGCCAUUUUACUUGCCUACGGUGCUGAUCCAACAGUUCGCAACAAUAGUUUUCAGACGGCAUUAGAUCUAGCCGCACAAUUCGGCCGUUUGCAGGCGGUACAAACAUUAAUACGCACACAUCCCGAAUUGUUAGCGCCAUAUCGUUCAUCUGGUAGCAAAACUCCUACAACUUCAACCACUGAAUCUACACCGUACACGAUUUCACCAUCGACACAUUUAUUUACACAUACUUGCUUGCAUUUAGCUAGUCGUAAUGGCCAUAAAAAAGUUGUCGAAGCACUCUUAGCCGCUGGUGUCGAUGUCAACAUUAUGACUAACUCGGGAACUGCCCUGCAUGAGGCUGCACUUUGCGGUAAAAAAGCUGUGGUCAAUGUGCUGCUACAAGCCGGGGUUAAUCCAAAUGCUACCGAUGGCUCGGGUCAUACAGCAUUGGAUUUGCUCAAAGACUAUCCACCACAUGUCACUUACGAAAUUGUAUGCGCCAUAAAAGAUUUUUAUAAAGACGCCUCGAAUGGUACCCACUUUAAACCAAUAAAUGAGCUCAGCGACGGAGACGAUCAUGAGCGCAGUGACAGUUCCAUCUCGCCAGUGCCAAAUAUAGCCUUCGAACGGAGGCAAAACGACGCAAAAGUCAGUGCUAUUGCACACAAGGAAUUUUUGAUGCCAAAGACUGUGAAACCAAAUAGACUUUCUGUUUCGAUGAGUUCUUUAGAACAGACCACCAAGCCUCAAUCAAAUUAUUUACCUAUGAAACCGAUUCUUUGGCAAAACUCUCACACAGGCAUUGCGCCUCCAAUUUGCCAAAACAACCGCAAUAUGCUGCCUCUAUUUUCACCCGUAGAGAAACAGCGUUCUCUUUGGAGUGUUUUUAAUAAUCAACACCGCACACGUAGUCCAAGUAGCCCGAGUAGGUAUGGUGGUCGUGCACAAAUGCCACACAAAGCAUACGAACAUGUUUCUUUAGCCAGAAGCGGUUCAGUGCAUAAUCUCCACGGGUAUAAUACAAAACUAUUUAUGUUAGGCGAUAUUAACGCUAACACCCGUACUCGUUGCGUGGAUGAGUAUGUAGAGAUGACUGAUCCCAAUUCUUUUACACGCUUCUCACCAAACGUUGCAAGGGCAGCUAAUUUGCAGAAAUCGCAUUCUUCAAACACGAAUUUGACUUCACAGCAGCGUUCUGUCGAUGGGUUUGUAAAAGUGACUAAUUUGAACAAUUUUACAUGCUCCUCGAAUAACACUACACCACCGAAAAAACCCAUACCAAGCCCACGUUCCAUAAGAACCAAUGACUAUGCCAAUAUUAAUCACAUUUUAACAACAUCAAAUUCAAGUAUUAAUUGCACGAAUGCGGCGGAAUCGUUAUCACCAACCAUGCCGCAAAAACCACAGGACCGAAGCCCACCACCGCAGCCAUGCAAGGUAUCGCCUGUGAAAGAUGCGAACAAUAAUUGCCAUAAUAUUAACGAGAAGAAACACUCGCCCACACCCGAUUUUCCGCCACCGACGGUUUUUCAAGCGGAGCAUACAAUACUCGAAUUUAUGAGACCUAACAGCAUUCAUAGCAAGCGUAAAUCAUUGGGCCUGAAACAACAACCACACCCAGAUUUGGAAUCCUUCAUUGUGGACGCAAUAAAUCAAUUUGAGCUACCUGAUUCUCCAGUGAGUUCUCGUGUUUCGGAUUGUGUGGAAGAGUUUGUGGGUGAUGCACCUUUUGCUGGACUUUUUAAAGGCUCUACUUUGAAUUUGGCGAUGGAUGGUAAGGAAGAUGGCUUUUCCGUUCACCGCGCAUCUAGUGGCCUACGCUCACCGAGUUUGGUGCGCUCAAUAAAGCCACUACCACCCAAAAGAAAUAUUGCUCAGUCGCAAAAAACGGUUGACAUCGAAAAUUUCAAUGCUGCACAAGUGUGGGCAGAGAUUGAUACCAUACUAGAAAGUAUUGGCAAUGAGGUCAAUAAACAGUCGGAACAAAUUAGCGAACUCAAUAAAACCAGCACCUUGAAUAAGGAGUCAUUGCAAAUACGUAGGCCAGCAGCCUUGUGUUUGGGUAGUAACGACGAUUGUGCAAACAACUGGUGUCAUUCACCAAACACGCUAAUAUUCGGGCAAAUACUCUACACAGUAUAUGGUCCACAGUUAUACGUGAAUUGCAUGGUACUACUUCCACACGAAAAUCCAUAUUAAAAUUUAAGCGAAAUGCCACUCCACUGCCAGUGGUCAAAGAGAGGGAAUCGAACUUAGUGAAGGAUUGCAAUAAUUUAACCAAAAUGCUCAAAGAGUCUAAUCAGGAUACGCGCCUAAAAGUUGGUCUUGCUGUGUCUUGUGGUGGUGUAAAGUUUUUAAACACCGACAAUAGCUCCACCAUUUGCACACAUGAUAUCGAAAACAUCAAUUGUGUGUGUCAGGAUGCCGAGGACUUGCGGUAUUUUGCUUAUAUUACUAAAGAAGAAGAUAUGCAUUACUGUCAUGUUUUUAUGGUGGAUAAUUUG
rnacentral:misc_RNA from 1 species